GAAAGAUCUCUACUAGGAGGUCUUUAACCAACUCCCAAUAUUUAAUCACUUUGGGACAGGUCCACCACAUGUGGACAUGGUUCUCGUUAACCUGCUGCCCCUCCAACAUAUAUCGGAAGUGUAUGGAACUGUUUUAUGGAACUGUUUGACAGGAGUGAUAUACCACCUAAAUAUGAGAGUAGAUAAGUUAAUCUGCCACUCUGAUUGUCUCAACAGGACAGUUUGCUGCCACCCGGGUGCUCAGGUCUGGCACGUGGCUGACAGAGUGGAUGGAUUAUUG